GGGGUUGACGGUACCCUACUAGAAAGGAGCCGCUAACUUCGUGCCAGAAGCGUCGGUAAUACGGGGGCUCCAAGCGUUAUCCGGUGUUAUUGGGCGUAAAGAGUCGUGUAGGUGGUUGGGUAAGUUAUCUUUCAAAUAUCUUUGCUUAACAAAGAGGAGGGGGAUAAUACUGCUCGACUAGAAUUUUCUCAAGGGAGAUCGGAACUGAGGGAGGAGUAGUGAAAUGCGUUGAUACCCUCGGGAACACCAGUGGCGUAGGCGGAUCUCUGGGAGAAGAUUGACACUGAGACACGAAAGCUAGGGGAGCGAAGCAGAUUAGAGACCUGCGUAGUCCUAGCCGUAAACGCAUGCUUGCUAGCUGCAUGAAUCUACCUUCGGGUGGUAUCGUGUGGCGAAGGUAACCCGUUAAGCAAGCCGCCUGGAAAGUACGGCCGCAAGGCUGAAAUUCAAAGGAAUUGGCGGGGAGGCACACAACCAGUGGAACAUGUGGUUUAAUUCGAGACUAACCGAAGAACCUCACCAGGGUUUGACAUGUAGCUGCACGUCUUAAGAAAUUAAGACUCUCUUGAAGGUGUUACACAGGUGCUGCAUGGCUGUCGUCAGCUCGUUCCGUGAGGAGUGCCCUUAAGUGGGACAACGAGCGCAACCCCUAUUACAUGUUAGAAAUGUCAUGUAAGACUGCCUUGCCAUUUGGCGGGGAGGAAGGAGGGGCAGACGUCAAGUCCGCAUGGUCCUUAUGCCCUGGGCUACACACAUGUUACAAUGAGUACGGCAAUGAGUCUGUCGCGAGCACGUAAGUGUAAGCUAAUCUCUUAAAUGUACUCUCAGUGGGGAUUGAGGUCUGCAACUCGACCUCAUGAACACGGAAUUGGUAGUAAUCGCGGGUCAGCUAUACCGCGGUGAUACGUUCUUGCCUCUUGCACACACCGCCCGUCAAACCAGCAAAGUCGAUUG
rnacentral:rRNA from 1 species